UCUGUCAGUGAUGAGCAAUAUCAUUUAAUUUGAGUUUAACGACCAUGAGAAAGCUCACAUGCACUACCAUCUGAGACAAG
ensembl:snoRNA SNORD33 Small nucleolar RNA Z195/SNORD33/SNORD32 family